UCAAGCAGCUGGUGAGAGAAAAAGUAGAUCUUGCUCUCAAAAAGUUUGGGCACCUCUGAUGUACAUGAUGUUGGCCAAACCAAUACCAGUUUAGAACAUCUGUGUAUUGCAGAGUAAACAUGCAAUACCUCAUUCAAGCACACUGAAGCUACUACAUGAAUCUCAUACUAUAUUAUUUCACAGAAUUGGUCAUACUACAAAACACAGCUUUAACUUCAGUUUUUAACCAAAUUUUACAUAUAUAAGCAAGAAAUAUUAAAAUAUUUUAUUACGGGACAUGAUAUUUAAACAUAAAAUCAUGUUUGUUUGUUGGUGUGAAAAAUGUAAGAGCUUCUUAGAAAGAACAGAAGAAUGCUGUUGUACUGCCUGAUGUAGCCACUGGGGUCCAGUAUGGGAACUAAAUGUUUAACGCUACUAUCAAUGAUACUCACAAAUACAUCAACUCUACUGUAGGAGCUGCAAUGAGAUGGAAGCUUCUUUUUCAGGCUAUGAAAGAUUUUAUACUUUACCUUCCUUUAUCUUCCUUUAACUAUGAACUAUUUCUUGUUAAUGUGUUCAUGAAUUUGCAGAUCAAUUUUUGCAUAACUCAGUUUUAUUGUGAAAGUAACUGAUGCAGUUGGAAUCCUGACAAUAUACCUGACUUAAACUGCUCCAAGUUACAUUAUCUGACAGGGCGUUUCCAAUAGAUAAACAGAACAAAUAGUUUUGUUAUGAAAUUCAAAUCUUCUAUCUAUGCAUGGUUUUUGUUACAUUUUAGGAAAUGUCUUAAACCAUCUUUUUUAUUAUGUAUGCUAUAGAUUGCAAAUGCAAUUUUAACAGAAA